rnacentral:rRNA from 1 species
CGGCCAGACUCCUACGGGAGGCAGCAGUGAGGAAUAUUGGUCAAUGGGCGAGAGCCUGAACCAGCCAAGUCGCGUGAAGGAUGACGGCCCUACGGGUUGUAAACUUCUUUUGUCAGGGAGCAAUUGGGUCCACGCGUGGGCUUAGCGAGAGUACCUGAAGAAAAAGCAUCGGCUAACUCCGUGCCAGCAGCCGCGGUAAUACGGAGGAUGCGAGCGUUAUCCGGAUUUAUUGGGUUUAAAGGGUGCGCAGGCGGAUUUUUAAGUCAGCGGUCAAAUCGUGGGGCUCAACCCCAUCCAGCCGUUGAAACUGGCGGCCUCGAGUGGGCGAGAAGUAUGCGGAAUGCGUGGUGUAGCGGUGAAAUGCAUAGAUAUCACGCAGAACUCCGAUUGCGAAGGCAGCAUACCGGCGCCCGACUGACGCUGAGGCACGAAAGCGUGGGUAUCGAACAGGAUUAGAUACCCCCGUAU